UAUAAGCUCUGGAAAACUUUAUAAUUUUGAGUUGGUCUGGCAAUAUUUCCCAGCCUUCUCUCUGUACCUAGUUAUAUAAAUAAACUCCCUUCUAUCCAGUUCAUCUGCAUCUCAUUAUUGGGCCAUGAGAAUAAGCAUAAAACAAACCUUCCUUUGAUGCUGGUAUCUAAGCACCAAAAAAUAGAUACCAGCAUCAAAAGAAGGUUUGGAUACAACCUUCUUUCAUUUUGUUUGGAUACAAGGAGCUAGUUUGGGUCUGCUCCUUUAAUGUAUCUAUGCUCAUAUUUUCCUUCCUCAAUUAUAAAAUAAAGUAGAGGUGAACACUGUGGUUAGCCAUAGAUUAACCAAGAAAGCAGAAAUCAUCUCAAAUGUUCACAGCAGAAGGAAUGGAAAGCAGUGGUGGGUCCAUGAAGAGUGGAGAGGCUGAGAAUUAAACAGAGGGCUCUAAAAUAAUCCUGGGAGAUUGACGAUAGCAGGAAGUCUUUAUCAUUCUUGGGCUGGAGAGACAAAAGGAAAACAUGGAAUUACUGGCACCAAGAGGACCACUCUGGGAGACUGGAUCUCUGGUGGCCUCGAUACAAUGGGGGCUGGAGUCACAGAGAAGAUAAAGCCACUGGAGAGGCCACCUUAGGCUGAAAACAGGAGGGAGUGUCUUGAUAGCUCCCUCCCCCAAAAACCGCUCCUCACCCUGCUCUCUAAUUUUCCAUGGUUGAUAUAUUCCUGCUGCCCGUUGACUCAGUCCUUUCAGAAAUUCUCUAGAGCCUGAAAAAGUCACCCUGCCGAGGAUCAACUUCUUCACCCCAGAACAAGGCAGAGCAGAAGGAUGGAUCUGAGUGCAAACAGGUCCAGGACCAGCACACCAUAUGCCGACCUUGAGAAGGAAAUUCACUGAGCCAUUCCUUACGAGUGUUCCCAGGAGAAACAGGAAAGUGAGAAGUCAAGUCGGUCCAAGAAGAAUAAAGAGGCCAAGCCCAGUUGCAUAUCAGCAAUCUCACAGAGAGAGCUGCCUCAGUCCCUCGAGGCACAGUGACCCAUGAUAUUCAAGGUGGUGGCUCCUUUGUCAGAUGAAUUCCUGAGUGACCAUAAGCAGAGAUCUCCUAACGACCCAUGAUGGGUAGUGUGAGCAAGUAUGAACCAUCUAGUGGAGCAAGAAAUAGUGCCUAUAUAAGCACUGAGAUUUGAGGAUGGUUUGUUACCAGAGAAUUGCCUACCUUAUCCUGACUGAUAAUCAGAUGUAAUAAUAUACCUCUGACUGGUGUUGGCUCCAUCAUACACCAGGGAAACAGCUGUUGUCUAGUACUUAUAACAUGUAACUCAAAACCCCUGGUUUAAAUGAAUUCCUGAGUGCAUUAUGCAUAACAUUUGUAUAAUUGGCUUUUGUAAACAAGACAUUGCUAUAGUUCUUCACAGAAUUAUGCUAAUAUCGAUAGAUUAUUCUUCAUUUAUCUUUAUCUGUUCUGAGCGACUGAAAGAGGAAAGAUUUGUUAUGAGAACACAUAAAUACAGUAUCAUGAAAGGGAAAGAAAAAGUUCUGUUUUGCGGAAGGCAUUAGUCCCCUUUGUUAGUCAAAUGAAGAGAGACUAUUCAUUAUACUUUAAUCUUAAGGAAUCCAAGAUUGCUAAACUAAUGGAUGACAUGUGACUAAGGAAUGAAUUAGUUGAACUUUAUUCUAUGAGUUGCCACCAUGAACUGUGCAAUUAUAGCCAGGUCCUUUAAAUGCUUUGAAUGUUUUUCAUGUGCGGAUAAGAUUAUUUCAGACCUACCAGGCCUUGAAGAAGGAUCAAAGUCUUGUCAGAGCUUUUGCCUAAAAUUGAAAAUAUCAUGUUACUUGGACUAUUUAUUUAUCCCUGCACCUUGUUGCAAAAAGGAUUUUAAGUAGAUGGCAUAUUAUUAUUUUAUUAACACAUUAAAAAAAACCCAUAAGAGGAUUAUAGAGUUUUUCCCUAACCUACUUCUCAGAGUGUUUUAAGCACACUGUAGAAUUUAUUCACUCAUGAAUUUGAUACAAACUAAAGUGAAAAUCUCUUCUCUGGAACCUCAUAAUGCUUAGAAAGCAUAGUAACACGUUCGGAGAAAGAGGAAGAUCAAAUUUAGAGGAAGCUCUUGUUUGAGUUUCUGCCACAAUGAGUUUCCCAUUCUAGAUAUUAAAAUAAUAGUAUAUACCCCAAAUAAAAUACUCAAGUUUCUGUAAAUUAAGGAUUAUGACUUGAUUAUACAUAUUUUAGAUUUAGAGCAUGCAUAAAAAAAUAUCUUUUUCACCAACUAGUAGAAAAAAAUUCAAAAUAAUGUGAUGAUUUUAAUCUUCCAUGAUAUGUAAUCUAAAAUAUCAAAACAUCACUGACUUUGCAUUAUAAUUAAAUAUAAAAGGUGACUGACUUAAGCCAAAUUUAAAAAAAAAAAUUGAGACAAGGUCUGUGUCAUCAGAGGUGGUAAGCAGUAGUGCAAACACAGCUCACUGCAGCAUUGACCUCCUGGGCUCAAACUCUCCUCCCAUCUCAGCCU
rnacentral:lncRNA from 1 species